GGGUUGUGAGGUUAAGCGACUAAGCGUACACGGUGGAUGCCCUGGCAGUCAGAGGCGAUGAAGGACGUGCUAAUCUGCGAAAAGCGUCGGUAAGGUGAUAUGAACCGUUAUAACCGGCGAUGUCCGAAUGGGGAAACCCAGUGUGAUUCGUCACACUAUCGUUAACUGAAUACAUAGGUUAACGAGGCGAACCGGGGGAACUGAAACAUCUAAGUACCCCGAGGAAAAGAAAUCAACCGAGAUUCCCCCAGUAGCGGCGAGCGAACGGGGAGCAGCCCAGAGUCUGAAUCAGCUUGUGUGUUAGUGGAACGGUCUGGAAAGUCCGACGGUACAGGGUGAUAGUCCCGUACACCAAAAUGCACAGGUUGUGAACUCGAAGAGUAGGGCGGGACACGUGGUAUCCUGUCUGAAUAUGGGGGGACCAUCCUCCAAGGCUAAAUACUCCUGACUGACCGAUAGUGAACCAGUACCGUGAGGGAAAGGCGAAAAGAACCCCGGCGAGGGGAGUGAAAAAGAACCUGAAACCGUGUACGUACAAGCAGUGGGAGCACCUUCGGGUGUGACUGCGUACCUUUUGUAUAAUGGGUCAGCGACUUAUAUUCUGUAGCAAGGUUAACCGUAUAGGGGAGCCGCAGGGAAACCGAGUCUUAACUGGGCGUUAAGUUGCAGGGUAUAGACCCGAAACCCGGUGAUCUAGCCAUGGGCAGGUUGAAGGUUGGGUAACACUAACUGGAGGACCGAACCGACUAAUGUUGAAAAAUUAGCGGAUGACUUGUGGCUGGGGGUGAAAGGCCAAUCAAACCGGGAGAUAGCUGGUUCUCCCCGAAAGCUAUUUAGGUAGCGCCUCGUGAACUCAUCUUCGGGGGUAGAGCACUGUUUCGGCUAGGGGGUCAUCCCGACUUACCAACCCGAUGCAAACUACGAAUACCGAAGAAUGUUAUCACGGGAGACACACGGCGGGUGCUAACGUCCGUCGUGAAGAGGGAAACAACCCAGACCGCCAGCUAAGGUCCCAAAGUCAUGGUUAAGUGGGAAACGAUGUGGGAAGGCACAGACAGCCAGGAUGUUGGCUUAGAAGCAGCCAUCAUUUAAAGAAAGCGUAAUAGCUCACUGGUCGAGUCGGCCUGCGCGGAAGAUGUAACGGGGCUAAACCAUGCACCGAAGCUGCGGCAGCGACACUAUGUGUUGUUGGGUAGGGGAGCGUUCUGUAAGCCUGCGAAGGUGUGCUGUGAGGCAUGCUGGAGGUAUCAGAAGUGCGAAUGCUGACAUAAGUAACGAUAAAGCGGGUGAAAAGCCCGCUCGCCGGAAGACCAAGGGUUCCUGUCCAACGUUAAUCGGGGCAGGGUGAGUCGACCCCUAAGGCGAGGCCGAAAGGCGUAGUCGAUGGGAAACAGGUUAAUAUUCCUGUACUUGGUGUUACUGCGAAGGGGGGACGGAGAAGGCUAUGUUAGCCGGGCGACGGUUGUCCCGGUUUAAGCAUGUAGGCUGGUUGUCCAGGCAAAUCCGGAUAAUCAAGGCUGAGGUGUGAUGACGAGGCACUACGGUGCUGAAGUAACAAAUGCCCUGCUUCCAGGAAAAGCCUCUAAGCAUCAGGUAACAUUAAAUCGUACCCCAAACCGACACAGGUGGUCAGGUAGAGAAUACCAAGGCGCUUGAGAGAACUCGGGUGAAGGAACUAGGCAAAAUGGUGCCGUAACUUCGGGAGAAGGCACGCUGGUGUGUAGGUGAAGUCCCUGCGGAUGGAGCUGAGACCAGUCGAAGAUACCAGCUGGCUGCAACUGUUUAUUAAAAACACAGCACUGUGCAAACACGAAAGUGGACGUAUACGGUGUGACGCCUGCCCGGUGCCGGAAGGUUAAUUGAUGGGGUUAUCCGUAAGGAGAAGCUCUUGAUCGAAGCCCCGGUAAACGGCGGCCGUAACUAUAACGGUCCUAAGGUAGCGAAAUUCCUUGUCGGGUAAGUUCCGACCUGCACGAAUGGCGUAAUGAUGGCCAGGCUGUCUCCACCCGAGACUCAGUGAAAUUGAACUCGCUGUGAAGAUGCAGUGUACCCGCGGCAAGACGGAAAGACCCCGUGAACCUUUACUAUAGCUUGACACUGAACAUUGAGCCUUGAUGUGUAGGAUAGGUGGGAGGCUUUGAAGCGUGGACGCCAGUCUGCGUGGAGCCAACCUUGAAAUACCACCCUUUAAUGUUUGAUGUUCUAACGUUGGCCCCUGACCGGGGUUGCGGACAGUGUCUGGUGGGUAGUUUGACUGGGGCGGUCUCCUCCCAAAGCGUAACGGAGGAGCACGAAGGUUAGCUAAUCCUGGUCGGACAUCAGGAGGUUAGUGCAAUGGCAUAAGCUAGCUUGACUGCGAGCGUGACGGCGCGAGCAGGUGCGAAAGCAGGUCAUAGUGAUCCGGUGGUUCUGAAUGGAAGGGCCAUCGCUCAACGGAUAAAAGGUACUCCGGGGAUAACAGGCUGAUACCGCCCAAGAGUUCAUAUCGACGGCGGUGUUUGGCACCUCGAUGUCGGCUCAUCACAUCCUGGGGCUGAAGUAGGUCCCAAGGGUAUGGCUGUUCGCCAUUUAAAGUGGUACGCGAGCUGGGUUUAGAACGUCGUGAGACAGUUCGGUCCCUAUCUGCCGUGGGCGCUGGAGAAUUGAGGGGGGCUGCUCCUAGUACGAGAGGACCGGAGUGGACGCAUCACUGGUGUUCGGGUUGUCAUGCCAAUGGCACUGCCCGGUAGCUAAAUGCGGAAGAGAUAAGUGCUGAAAGCAUCUAAGCACGAAACUUGCCCCGAGAUGAGUUCUCCCUGAGACUUUAAGUCUCCUGAAGGAACGUUAAAGACGAUGACGUUGAUAGGCCGGGUGUGUAAGCGCAGCGAUGCGUUGAGCUAACCGGUACUAAUGAACCGUGAGGCUUAACCUUACAACGCCGAAG
rnacentral:rRNA from 1 species